rnacentral:rRNA from 1 species
UACGUAGGGGGCUAGCGUUGUCCGGAAUUAUUGGGCGUAAAGCGCACGUAGGCGGCUCUGCAAGUCGGAUGUGAAAUCCCUCGGCUCAACCAAGGAAGUGCAUCCGAAACUGCGGAGCUUGAGUACUUAAGAGGAUCGCGGAAUUCCCGGUGUAGAGGUGAAAUUCGUAGAUAUCGGGAGGAACACCAGUGGCGAAGGCGGCGAUCUGGGAAGAUACUGACGCUGAGGUGCGAAAGCGUGGGGAGCAAACAGG